rnacentral:rRNA from 1 species
UACGUAGGGUGCAAGCGUUGUCCGGGAUUAUUGGGCGUAAAGAGCUCGUAGGCGGUCUGUCGCGUCUGCUGUGAAAACCUGGGGCUUAACCCCGGGCCUGCAGUGGGUACGGGCAGACUAGAGUGCGGUAGGGGAGACUGGAAUUCCUGGUGUAGCGGUGAAAUGCGCAGAUAUCAGGAGGAACACCGGUGGCGAAGGCGGGUCUCUGGGCCGUAACUGACGCUGAGGAGCGAAAGCAUGGGGAGCGAACAGG